rnacentral:lncRNA from 1 species
AAUAAGCAGAAAGUGUUAGGAAUGAAAUACAAGUGUAAAUACACCUAAUCAGAGCAUAGAAAGUCUAGGUGCAGUCCAGCAGGAUAAGUACUAGUUAUACAAUACCAGAUAUCCUACAAAUAUUAUAUUUUGUCAGAACCGCCGAGAUCCUCAAAUGCCACCAAUAGCAAGUCUACCAAAAACCUGAAGGGGCGCAAAACAGAAAGUGUGAAUAGGCAAAAACAAAGCUUUUCAAAAUCAUUUUAUUAUCAAACUCUCUAACCCCUCGCCGUAAAACAUGUAUAAUUUUCCCUAAAAUAAAAUAUAAAUAUAUACAUCUAUAUAUAUAUAUAUAUAUUCAAAUCAUGCUUCACAUAUCCAUAAUCAUAAAUAUGUCAUGCCAAAAUAUAAAACAGAAUAAGUAACUCAGGUGAAAAUAAGUUCAUGGAAAGCAACAUAUUAGAUGGAACCCCAUCAGAGGUCUGUACGACUGAAUUCAUAGCUCAUUAGUUAAUAUAGCCGGAGUCACUAUAAGUGACCUAUACGGCACUACACUGCAUACGAGUCGGAACUUCUGUAAAGGUCUGUACGAUAAGACUAGGUGUAAUAUAGUUAUGCUCAAUGCUAUGCUCUCAUGAUAGCUGUGCGAUACACUGCUAGUCACCUACAAGUCGAAACCACCUAUAAUGGUCUGUACGACAAGACUGUGCACCUAAAUUGGAUCCAAUGUGAGCAUAUGGUGCGGGAGGUGACAUUAUAAACAGGCAUGUGCCAUAUCUCUGGCUAAAUCACUAACAUCGGGGUGCAGGUUUAUGAGCUCAAUGUUUCUCAAUUAAUCACAAUCGUUAUUCACAUUCAUAAUUCAUAAACUCACCUGGGACUUACCUGACCGUCCUCAGCACCACAAUUAUAUAUAUAUAUAUAUAUAUAUAUGCAAACAUCAUAUGCAUAUUCUAAAUGUAAAUCAUUUGGCAUGGCAAUUUAAGUCAUAACAUCAUAUGAAAACAUCGUAGCCCCCGAGUCGCCCUUGACUACGCUCGUCAUUGGGAUAAGUCUCCCCUAUAUGCGAAACAACUAACACCGUUAGAAUAUUCCAUCAAAGUUGACGGAAUAUUCGCUCUUCUUCUUCCUUUGACUCCGGUGACCGUCGUCAUCAUCGGAAAACAAUUUCAAAGCUUGAAAUCCACGGAAUCUCGUCGGAGAAAACUCAAUAGUCCGGCCAAAACUUGAAACUCGCCAAACUUGACUUCACGACGUCCAAAAUACUUCGUUUUUCUUCUCCGAGCUUCGUGAAGACGUUCUAAAGCUUCCUAUAACCUUGAAAUCUUCCAAAAACUUCACAUUAACGUGUGCAUGAACAAUACCUCAAUUCGAGGUUCUUGGUUCUUACGAUCCUGAAGCUUUCACAUUCUAAAAAUGGUAUGGUUAAAAUCCUAAGGUUACAAGGAACUCAAACAUGGCCUCUAAAGAUUUGAUCUGCAAAGUUUUGUGAGGGUUGGAGUUUGUCAAUAUGGUUCGUACGAAAAAAGAAGAGAAUCGAGAGGGAGGAGAGAAAGUACACGGGAAGUAGAGAGAGAGUUGGAGUGUGUAUGUGGUCCAAAAUUUUUUGACUUCCAAACAACCACAAAACCAUAAUAACUUUAAGUCCUAAUUGGUUCCAAAAUAUUAGGGACUUAAUUUAUUAGUUCACUUCUAAACUUAAACCACACAACCACACAAAACGUCCAAAGGCAAUUUCAUCUUUUCACACCAUCGAUAACAAUAAUUCGGGAAGGGCUGUGACAAUCUACCCACCUUAAUAAAAUUUCGUCCCCAAAAUUCCAAAUAAUAAAAUAUAAUCCACUAAUAACCAUAAAAUAAGCGUGGAUACAUCUCUCUCAUCCGAUCCUCUGUCUCCCAAGUGGCCUCUUCCACUUAGUGAUUUUUCCACAAGACUUUCACCAUAUGCACUAUUUUAUUCCUCAGCUCUUUAUCCUUCCAAUCCAAAAUAGUCACUGGCUCCUCAUCGUAAGUCAAAUCCGAAUUAAUUUCCAGCGGUUGAGGAGGUAUUACAUGAGAAAGAUCCGAGACAUAAUGUCGAAGUAUCGAAACAUGAAACACGUCAUGCACUUUGAACAAUUAUGGAGGCAACUCAAGCUUGUAAGCAACCUUACCGACUCACUCGGUGAUCAUAUACGGUCUAAUGUACCUAGGACUCAGCCUGCCUUUUUUUCCAAACAGCAUUACACCUUUCCAUGGUGAUAGUUUUAAAAAUACCUAAUCACUUACAUUAUACAUCCGGUUAGUGGCAUGCUUGUCUGCUAAGCUCUUUUGUCGAUCCUGGGCCGUUUUCAGAUUAGACUUAAUUACCUGAAUAUUUUGAGUAGUUUCAUCCACAAUCUCUGGGCCCACCAAAACUCUUUCUCCAACUUCUGACCAGCAUAAUUGCGUUCGACAAAACUUGCCAUAGAAUGCUUCAAAAGGUGCCAUACCAAUACUCAAAUGGUAACUGUUGUUGUAGGUGAACUCCAUCAAAUCCAAACAAUUAUGCCAAGCAUUGCCAAACUGUAGCACUGAAGAUCUCAACAUAUCCUCUAAUGUCUGAAUAGUCCUCUCAGAUUGUCCAUUUGUUUGAGGGUGAUAUGCUGUAUUAUAAAGUAAUCUUGUACCAAGAGCUUCCUGGAACGCUAUCCAGAACUUAAAAGUAAAUCUAGGAUCCCAAUCCGAGAUAAUAUCAACUGGAACACCAUGGUAUUUCACAAUCUUCGAUAUGAAUAACUUAGCUAAUCGGCGUAAUAAGUAUUUUUCCCUCUCUAGAAUAAAGUGUGCUGACUUAGUGAGCCAAUCAACUAUCACCCAAAUGUCGUCAUAACCAUUCUGUGUACGAGGAAGUUUGUACACAAAAUUCAUAGUAACAUUUUCCCAUUUCCACUGUGGAACGGGAAGUGGCUGCAUCAACACAAACAGUUUCUUCCUUUCAGCUUUAACAUGUUGGCAAAUGGCACACCUACUCACAUGUACUUAGCAAUUUCUCUUUUCAUACCCGGACAAUAAUAAAAUGGGUGAAUGGUAUGAUACAUCUUGGUACCUCCUAGAUGCAUUGCAUAUGCAGAAAUAUGUGCUUCAUCAAGGAUUUCUUUCUUUAAUUCUGCAUUAUCUGGCACAUACAUUAUGUUAUCUUGCAUAAGCAUGCCAUCAAUUUCUCAAAUUCUGAAAUCUUUCUUCUUGCCUCGAUUUCUUGCUUGAAUUAUUUCCUGGGUCUCUUCAUCAUUCAUCUGGGCUUCGAGUACACGAUCAAUUAAGAUUGGCCUAACUUGAAAAUUUGCAAGUAAAGCUUCCUCUCUAUCUUCCACUCCUAACUUCACUUCAAUGGACCUCAAAUCCGCAAGAAGAGGAAUAUGACAAUCAUAGAUGGCAUUAAGUCUAAAUGGAGUCUUCCUACUAAGUGCAUCCGCCACUGCAUUUGCACGACCAGGGUGAUACUCAAUCGUACAAUCACAAUCACUAAGUAACUCAAUCCACAUCCGCUGCCGAAGAUUAAGAUCUCUCUGAGUGAAAAGAUACUGAAGACUCUUAUGAUCUGUGAAGAUCUUACAUUUCUCACCAUAAAGAUAAUGUCUUCAAAUCUUCAAAGCAAAGAUGAUAGUCGUUAACUCCAGAUCAUGAGUAGGGUAAUUCUUCUUAUGAGGUUUCAACUGUCUUGAAGCAUAAGCAAUCACCCUACCAUGUUGCAUCAAUACACAACCUAGACCAUUCAAAGAAGCAUCACUGUAGACCUCGAAAUUACCACUAUCAUUUGGGAAUGCUAAAACAGGUGCAUGAGUGAGAUAAUACUUCAACUGCUGAAAACUUUGCUCACAAUUAUCAUCCUACUUAAACUUAAUAUCCUUCCUGGUCAACCUCGUCAAUGGUAAAGCAAUCACUGAAAAAUCCUUAACAAACCGUCUAUAAUAACCUACAAGGCCAAGAAAACUUCGUACCUCAGUGAUGGUUCGAGGUUGCUCCAAAUUCUCCACAGCUGCUACUUUUUGAGAAUCCAUUCGAAUACCUUGAGUUGAUAUAACAUGUCCCAAAAAUGCCACUUGAUCUAACCAGAAUUGGCAUUUGCUAAACUUAGCAUAUAACUGGUGUUCCCUCAAACUUUUCAACACCAAUUUAAGAUGUCUAGCAUGCUCAACCCUAGACUUAGAGUAUACCAGAAUAUCAUCAAUGAAGACAAUGACGAACUUGUCUAAAUAUGGCUAGAAUACUCGAUUCAUUAAAUCCAUGAAAGUUGCUGGUGCAUUAGUUUACCCGAAUGGCAUCACAAGAAACUCAUAAUGACCAUAUCUAGUCCUGAAAGCUGUUUUAGGGACAUCUUCACUUCUAAUCUUCAACUGGUAGUAACCAGACCUCAAGUCAAUUUUCGAAGUUAAUCAAACAAAUCAUCUAUACGAGGCAACCGAUAACAAUUCUUAAUUGUUACCUGAUUCAAUUACCUAUAAUCAAUGCAUAGCCUCAAGGUUCCGUUUUUCUUCCUCACAAAUAAGAUUGGAGCUCCUUAGGGUGAAGUACUAGGCUGAAUAAAACCUUUAUCCAUUAAUUCUUACAACUGAACUUUCAAUUCCCUUAAUUCAGCAGGAGUCAUUCUAUAAGGAGUCAAAGAUAUAGGAUCCGUACCUGGAAGUAGAUCAAUAACAAACUUCACAUCUCUGUCUGGUGGCAAUCCAGGCAAAUCAUCAGGGAACACAUCCGGAAAAUGGCUGACCACACGCAUAUCCUCCACACUACUAGGAGUAUUAUCAUUCAACACCACAUGAGCUAAAUAUCCCUGACAACCUUUCGACAACAAUCUUUUGGCUUUCAUGGCAAAAAUAACACCAUGCCUCACCCCGCUAGGUUCUUAUACAAAUGUAACUUCAGGUAAUCUAGGACGAUGAAAAAUGAUUGUUUUUCCAUAACAAUCUAUCUUGGCACGAUUGUAGUGUAACCAAUCAGUGUCCAAAAUCACAUCAAAAUCAACAAUGUCUAACGGAAUAAGGUUAACUGGCAUAACAACAUCCUCCACCAUCACUGGACAUCUUGGAUAUACCUGAUCAACAUAACAUCUUUCCCCUUUAGGCAUAAAAAACUCUAAAUCAUAUCCUAGAGGUGUAUGAUGAGGUUGCGUCACUUGAGCAAAUGUAUGAGAAACAACAAAAUGUGUAGCACCACAAUCAAUCAAUACUCUAGCAAAAUGACCAAGAAUAUUUAACGUACCCAUGUUAUGGAUACGUCCUUGAUUCUCCAAUCGUCCAGCACGACCUUUGUUAGCAUGAAUACCUCGUCCUUGUCUUGCUGACCAGACUGCCUCUAAGAUCCUGCACUGCUAGCAUGAAUCUCCACCUGUUGUGGCUGUCUCCCUUGGUACCACUAGGAUCCACUUGCUGAAUGUGACUGAUAUGGCAUAGAACCUUCAUAAUACUGAGGGUAACUACCCUGAUAAGGAGGGUCCUGGAAGUACUGAUACUGCCAUGUAGUAUAAGAAGCGGCGUCACUCUGAUAAUGAUAAGCACAUCCAUGACCAGUCUGAGCAUAACCACUAGGUCCUGAAGCUUGCUGGGUCGGCGCAGGUGGUGGUAAAGAAGGUUGUUGGGGCCUCUGCUGAUUCUGAGGGCAAUGUGUAGCCCUAUGCUCAUCUGUCCACAAGUAUAGCAUGCACUGCUGCCUCUCUUACACUCCCCAAAAUGCCUAUUAUUACACUUGGGGCAUAAAGGAGCACCUGAACCACCAAAGUCCCUUUGCCUCUGAAAUCUUGAGCCUCCAGAAAAUCUACCACCUCUCUUCCACACAUUAGAGCUCAAACUUUCACUAGAAAAGCUAGAACUAACACCACUUCUCUCAAAACUAUGGGUCUUACGAGGUCCCUAAGAUGAUUGACCUUUACCUUUAUCAUCUCACCUUUGGUUCCCGUUCUUUUCUUCUUUAUCUUCACUUUCAUUGGGUAUGUUCUCUGAGUCAUUAAUCUGUAGUAAAGCCUCAUAAAACUCCUAGUAAGUGGCACAGGGGGUCGAUGUCGCUAUAGAACACUAUUUCUUCUUAGUACCCAACCUGAAACGACGGAUCAUCUCAACCGGAUUAGCAGCAACCUCCGGAUCAUAUUGAGAUAAAUCAGUGAAUCUCCUAUAAUAUUCAUUCGUCGUCAUCUUUCCUUGUUUCAAAUGCGUAAAUUCUUGUUUCUUGCAAUCAAUAUACUCAGGGGAAUGAACCUUUUCCGAAACAACUGUUUAAACAUUUCCCAAUUGGCUGCUACCUUUGGUGGCAUCUGAUAUGACUCUUGUCUCCACUAGGAUGCAGGCUCCGAACCCAUAAACCAAGUAGUCGUCUCGACCCAUCUAUCAAGAGGAAGAUUCCUCUGACUCUGCAUUACAAGGAAAGUCUUCUCGACAUGAUUAAGCCACUUCUCCACUCCCUCAUGUCCUUCAUUACCCAUGAAAUGAUUUAGCUUUAGAUUAUACACAGUCUCAAGAGGUGUUCUUUGAGGAGGACGGAGCAAAGACUGAAUGGCAUUAGCUAUAGCUUCCCCUAACUGAGCAAUAUCAGGGAAACUAGGCUCAGCUCAGUGACGUGGCUCUCUAUGAGGCGGCAUAAUUCUGACAGAAGACAUCAUAAUGAUUAAAUCAUUCACAAGAUAUACAGAAGUACUAAACAUAGGCUUUGAUACCAAACUGACACACCCCGACCUAAAAUCAAGGCGUGUUGUCUGUCACGUGAGGGUGACAUAGCCAAAUGCACAAUGCGGAAGCGAUAAGGAUAUGAAAUAUAUGAGUAAUAAAAACCGAAAUUUAACUAAAGUGCACUAAUAAGUAGAAAGAGCUAGGAAUGAAAUACAAGUGUAAAUACGCCUAAUCAGAGCAAAGAAAGUCUAGGUGUAGUCCAGUAGAACAAGUACUAGUUAUACAGUACUAGAAGAUAUCUUACGAAUAUUAUAUUUUAUCAGAACCACCGAGAUUCUCAAAUGCCACUAACAGCAAGUUUACCUAAAACCUGGAGGGGCGCUAAACAGAAAAUGUGAGUGGACAAAAACAAAGCUUUUCAAAAUCAUUUCAUUAUCAAACUCUUUAACCUCUCGCCGUAAAACAUGUAUAAUUUUCCCAGAAAUAAAAUAUAAAUAUAUACCUAUAUAUAUAUAUAUAUAUAUAUAUAUAUAUAUAUAUAUAUUCAAAUCAUGCUUCACAUAUCCAUAAUCAUAAAUAUGCCAUGCCAAAAUAUAAAAUAGAAUAAGUACCUCAGGUAAAAAUAAGUUCAUGGAAAGCAACAUAUUAGCCGAAAUCCCAGCAGAGGUCUGUACAACUGCAUUCAUAGCUCAUUAGUUAAUCUAGCCGAAUUCACUAUAAGUGACCUAUAUGGCACUACACUACACACGAGUCGGAAACCACUAUAAAGGUCUGUACGACAAGACUGGGUGUAAUAUAGUUAUGCUCAAUGCUACGCUCUCAUGAUAGUUGUGCGAUACACCGCUAGUCACUUACGAGUCGGAACCACCUAUAAUGGUCUGUACGACAAGACUGUGCACCUAAAUUGGAUCCAAUGUGAGCAUAUGGUGUGGGAGGAGACAUUAUAAACAGGCCAGUGCCAUAUCUCUAGCUAAAUCACUAACACCAGGGUGUAGGUUUAUAAUCUCAAUGUUUCUCAAUUAAUCACAACCGUUAUUCACAUUCACAAUUCAUAAACUCACCUAGGAGCAUCCUCAACACCACAAUUUUUAUAUAUUAUAUAUAUAUAUAUAUAUAUAUAUAUAUAUAUAUAUAUAUAUAUAUAUAUAUAUAUAUAUAUAUAUGCAAACAUCAUAUGCAUAUUCUAAAUGUAAAUCAUUUGGCAUGGCAAUCUAAGUCAUAACUCAUUUAAAUGCAUUUUCUGAGAAAGAUACCAAACAUAUAUAUAUAUAUAUAUAUACUUAAAACCCAAAAGCCCACUCACUGGUAUGUCGAAGGGUCGUAGCCCCCGAGUCACCCUUGAUUGCGCUCGUCUUCGGGAUAAGUCUCCCCUAUAUGCGAAACAACUGACGCCGUUAGAAUAUUCCGUCAAAGUUGACGGAAUAUUCGCUCGUCUUCUUCCUUCAACUCCGGUGACCGUUGCGGUCGCCAGAAAACAAUUUCAAGGCUUGAAAUCCAGGGAAUCUUGUCGAAGAAAACUCGAUAAUCUGGCCAAAAUUUGAAACUCACCAAACUCGACUUCCCGAUGUCCAAAACACUUCGUUUUUCUUCUCCAAGCUUCGUGAAGACGUUCUAAAGCUUCCUAUAACCUUGAAAUAUCCAAAAAACUCCACAUUAAUGUGUGCAUGAACAGUACCUCAAUUCGGGGUUUUUGGUUCUUACGAUCCCGAAGCUUUCACGUUCUAAAAAUGGUAUGGUUAAGAUCCUAAGGUUACAAGGAACUCAAACAUGGCCUCUAAAGGUUCGAUCUGCAAAGUUUUGUGAGGGUUGGAGUUUGUCCGUAC